rnacentral:rRNA from 1 species
GACGAACGCUGGCGGCGUGCUUAACACAUGCAAGUCGAACGGAAAGGCCCUGCUUUUGUGGGGUGCUCGAGUGGCGAACGGGUGAGUAACACGUGAGUAACCUGCCCUUGACUUUGGGAUAACUUCAGGAAACUGGGGCUAAUACCGGAUAGGAGCUCCUGCUGCAUGGUGGGGGUUGGAAAGUUUCGGCGGUUGGGGAUGGACUCGCGGCUUAUCAGCUUGUUGGUGGGGUAGUGGCUUACCAAGGCUUUGCCGGGUAGCCGGCCUGAGAGGGUGACCGGCCACAUUGGGACUGAGAUGCGGCACAGACUCCUCCGGGAGGCAGCCGUGGGGAAUAUUGCACAAUGGGCGGCAGCCUGAUGCAGCAACGCCGCGUGCGGGAUGACGGCCUUCGGGUUGUAAUCCGCUUUCGCCUGUGACGAAGCGUGAGUGACGGUACUGGGUAAAGAAGCACCGGCUAACUACGUG